GCAGAGAUGUAAAGGACUGAAGGAAGGCCGGGGAGAGGAACAUCUUUACUGGGUUGAAUGACUUCAGCUUGACUGGAAGAUAAUCGACACACACAGAAGGAAGAACUCAUAAAACGGAAGCCAAAGACCCGACCUUCUAGUGAAAGUAGCACCGUAAAGACGUGAUGAGCCCAUUAGAAACAGAUUUGAACUUUGUUAGGUUCACUGAAAACUGCAUUUUCUUGAUUUUAACUCGAGUCUCAGGGCCUCAAACUUGAGUCGCUGGAUUUUAAACAUGUUCAAAGAAUUUGCACAAGACGUUUCCUCUUAAAGGAAUAUCAGCGUCUUCAGAACCCUCCUCAGCUCAGCCAGGAACGCAAGAUGUGCCGUUUUAUUUGAGCAAACUCAAAUAAAACGGCAACUGUUGGGUGAUUUUAUCGAUCCAAGAUUACCUUAGGGAAAGUUCAAAGCACAGGGGGUUAUAGUAAUCAAUCGAUCAACACCAAUACCAAUCAUAAACAAUCGAUUUAGACUUUGCAAAGUGGAGAGGAAAAGAUAGACACCAAACAACGGGUCUUAGUUCACUCUCAUCAGACUGACGUCCUCCGAAAGCUUUUUUUAAGCACACACACUUUGACAUUCCUUAGGGGCUCGACACACGGGAGGCGACAAACGACCACGAUCAGCGAAAUUUGUCGCUGUCGCUUUUAUUACCUGACACACGGGAGGCGACCCAGCGGCAAAGCCGUCUACGCGUUCUGUUCCAUGGCGAAAUUGAAACUUCCGUUGUUUUGUUUGGCUGUGUCAGGUUGGAGGGGAUUAAGGUUAUUUAAGCGGUUCAGAGUUAAUAAAGCGGUAGAUAUGAUGUUUCACAAGGUGCUGCUAGAGUUAUGUGAAAUCUUACUUCUGAUUUUACUAUAAAACAUAAUAAUAAUCAACUUCUCCUCCAUGUUUGCUCGGAGGUGUACGGAGCAUCCUGUCCGCUCAUUGGUCAGUGAAUGAAACCUCGGUUGAUUGGUCCUCGUCCGAGCGACAGCGAUGAAAAGUUGAAAAUGUUUCAACUUUCUGGGAUCGUGUCACUGGGUCGCCUGUGCACGACACGUGCACGAGCGCAAAAUUUCACACGCUUGAUUUUUGCGUUUCGCUUGGUAGGAGGGAGACCCUCGAUUAUCGCUUUGUCACGCACGUCUCAUUGAAAAUGAAUGGAGGAGAGGCGAUGUGGCCUCCCGUGUGUCGAGCCCAUUAGACUCUCAGGCGGGAAAGCAGUAAACGGAGACUAAACUUUCUCCAGGUGCACCCUAAAUCAACACAGCCGUUGCUAGACUUUCUCAAGGGAGUUUUACUGAGAAAGUGUCAUGAGCCGGGGUGAGUACUCCAGUUCUCUUAACCAUCUGUGAGUCUCUUGCCAGGAGAGGGAGUGGCCCAGCUGUUCCUGAUCAGCGAUCAGCGGGGUGCUUUCCUAUUUAAGGUGGAUGGUGGACACACUUUGACGCCGGAAGAUUGCCUCAGUUUUGGAUUCCUGUCGACCUCAUUGGAUACUGACCUCUACUCCAGGAUUCGGAUAUUCAGCACACGGACCAUAUCACCACCCUCCAUGACCCACCUCUUAUCUCACCCAGUGCCCCAUCCACCAGGACGCCCCGCUUCUCUCCACCUCUGCUCCCUCUCCUGCGCUUCCCCCGGCUCUCUACCUCUCUCUCCUCCAGCCAACACGUACACCCACCACAACGCUGAGCUGUUGUUGCAGUUCCAACCACAGACUUAUCUGUGCACCUUAAGUUCCUCCUUAUAAAUAAAUCAUUUUUUCAUCCAUUUUUGGUCAGUGUUGUAUUCUGCGUGUCUUGGGUUAAGUACCUUCCUCCAAA